CAGGCCUAACACAUGCAAGUCGAGCGGAGCGAGGGUGCUUGCACCUUAGCUUAGCGGCGGACGGGUGAGUAAUGCUUAGGAAUCUGCCUAUUAGUGGGGGACAACGUUUCGAAAGGAACGCUAAUACCGCAUACGUCCUACGGGAGAAAGCAGGGGAUCUUCGGACCUUGCGCUAAUAGAUGAGCCUAAGUCGGAUUAGCUAGUUGGUGGGGUAAAGGCCUACCAAGGCGACGAUCUGUAGCGGGUCUGAGAGGAUGAUCCGCCACACUGGGACUGAGACACGGCCCAGACUCCUACGGGAGGCAGCAGUGGGGAAUAUUGGACAAUGGGGGGAACCCUGAUCCAGCCAUGCCGCGUGUGUGAAGAAGGCCUUUUGGUUGUAAAGCACUUUAAGCGAGGAGGAGGCUUACCUAGUUAAUACCUGGGAUAAGUGGACGUUACUCGCAGAAUAAGCACCGGCAACUAGG
rnacentral:rRNA from 1 species